GGGGAUAACGUUUGGAAACGAACGCUAAUACCGCAUGAUAUUAUUGAGCUGCAUGGCUUGAUAAUCAAAGGAGCAAUCCGCUGAAAGAUGGGCUCGCGUCCGAUUAGGUAGUUGGCGGGGCAACGGCCCACCAAGCCGACGAUCGGUAGCCGGACUGAGAGGUUGAACGGCCACAUUGGGACUGAGACACGGCCCAGACUCCUACGGGAGGCAGCAGUGAGGGAUAUUGGUCAAUGGGGGAAACCCUGAACCAGCAACGCCGCGUGAGGGAAGACGGUUUUCGGAUUGUAAACCUCUGUCCUCUGUGAAGAUGACGACGGUAGCAGAGGAGGAAGCUCCGGCUAACUACGUGCCAGCAGCCGCGGUAAUACGUAGGGAGCAAGCGUUGUCCGGAUUUACUGGGUGUAAAGGGUGCGUAGGCGGCUUUGCAAGUCAGAAGUGAAAUCCAUGGGCUUAACCCAUGAACUGCUUUUGAAACUGCAGAGCUUGAGUGGAGUAGAGGUAGGCGGAAUUCCCGGUGUAGCGGUGAAAUGCGUAGAGAUCGGGAGGAACACCAGUGGCGAAGGCGGCCUGCUGGGCUCUAACUGACGCUGAGGCACGAAAGCGUGGGUAGCAAACAGGAUUAGAUACCCUGGUAGUCCACGCUGUAAACGAUGAUUACUAGGUGUGGGUGGACUGACCCCAUCCGUGCCGGAG
rnacentral:rRNA from 1 species